UACGAGGGGGGCGAGCGUUGUUCGGAAUUACUGGGCGUAAAGGGCUCGUAGGCGGCCAACUAAGUCAGACGUGAAAUCCCUCGGCUUAACCGGGGAACUGCAUCUGAUACUGGAUGGCUUGAGUUCGGGAGAGGGAUGCGGAAUUCCAGGUGUAGCGGUGAAAUGCGUAGAUAUCUGGAGGAACACCGGUGGCGAAGGCGGCAUCCUGGACCGACACUGACGCUGAGGAGCGAAAGCCAGGGGAGCAAACGGG
rnacentral:rRNA from 1 species